rnacentral:misc_RNA from 1 species
CGGUACUCCCAAUAUUGUAUUGAAAAAAUAUAACGCGGUAAUAUUCGUUCAUGGCAUCUUCUGGCAUGGUCACAACUGUUACCUAUUUUCCGAUGCUAAUAUAACCCAUUAGAUAAGCGUUCACCUCGCUUCACCUCCGAACAUGUCAACUGUCAAAACAACCAACCUAGUUCAAACAACUCCAACAAGUGGGCGUAACACUAUAUUAUGCGCCACAUAUCGCAUUGCAAAAUGCAAAUACACCCAAAAAACAAUUCUAUAAAA